UACGGAGGGUGCAAGCGUUAUCCGGAUUCACUGGGCUUAAAGGGUGCGUAGGUGGGUCUGUAAGUCAGUGGUGAAAUCUCCGAGCUUAACUCGGAAACUGCCAUUGAUACUAUUUAUCUUGAAUACUUUGGAGGUAAGCGGAAUAUGUCAUGUAGCGGUGAAAUGCUUAGAUAUGACAUAGAACACCAAUUGCGAAGGCAGCUUACUACACAGUUAUUGACACUGAGGCACGAAAGCGUGGGGAUCAAACAGG
rnacentral:rRNA from 1 species